rnacentral:tRNA from 1 species
GGGGCAAUGGUUUAGUGGUAUAAUUUCCGCUUAGGGUGCGGAAGGUCCCGAGUUCGUUUCUCGGUUGCCCCC